rnacentral:rRNA from 1 species
AACGAACGCUGGCGGCAGGCUUAACACAUGCAAGUCGAACGAGAUCUUCGGAUCUAGUGGCAGACGGGUGAGGAACACGUGGGAACAUCCCUUUCAGUUCGGAAUAACGUUGGGAAACUAACGCUAAUACCGGAUACGUCCUUCGGGAGAAAGAUUUAUCGCUGAAAGAUUGGCCCGCGUCUGAUUAGCUAGUUGGUGAGGUAAUGGCUCACAAAGGCUACGAUCAGUAGCUGAUCUGAGAGGAUGAUCAGCCACAUUGGGACUGAGACACGGCCCAAACUCCUACGGGAGGCAGCAGUGGGGAAUAUUGGACAAUGGGCGCAAGCCUGAUCCAGCCAUGCCGCGUGAGUGAUGACGGCCUUCGGGUUGUAAAGCUCUUUUGUCCGGGAAGAUAAUGACUGUACCGGAAGAAUAAGCCCCGGCAAACUUCGUGCCAGCAGCCGCCGUAAUAC